rnacentral:lncRNA from 1 species
GAUAUCAUUCUGAGUGAGGUAACCCAAUCACAAAAGAACACACGUGGUUUGCACUCUCUGAUAAGUGGAUAUUAGCUCAGAAACUUAGAAUACCCAAGAUAUAAUUUGCAAAACACAUGAAACUUAAGAAGGAAAACCAGACUUCAUUCCUUCUUAGAAUGGGGAACAAAAUACCCACAGAAGCAGUUACAGAGACAAAGUUUGGAGCUGAGAUGGAAGGAAGGACCAUACAGAUACUGCCCACCCUGGGAUCCAUCCCAUAAACAGCCACCAAACUCAGACACUAUUGUAUAUGCCAGCAAGAUUUUGCUGACAGGACUCUGAUAUAGCUGUCUCUUGUGAGGCUAUGCCAGUGCCUGGCAAAUACAGAAGUGGAUGCUCACAUUCAUCUAUUGGAUGGAACACAGGGCCCCAAUGGAGGCGCUAGAGAAAGUACCCAAGGAGCUGAAGGACCGGGUCUUUAACCCUCUAGGAGGAACAACAAUAUGAACUAACCUGUACCCCCAGAGCUUGUGUCUCUAGCUGCAGAUGUAGCAGAAGAUGGCCUAGUUGGCCAUUAUUGGGAGCAGUGGCCCUUGUUCUUGCAAAGAUUAUAUGCCCCAGUAUAGGGGAAUGCCAGGGCUGGGAAGUGGGAGUGGGUAGGUGGGAGAGCAGGGUGGAAGGAGGGUAUAGGGGACUUUCGGGAUAGCAUUUGAAAGGUAAAUGAAGACAAUAUCUAAUAAAAAAAAAUACCAACUAAGGUUAUCCUCUGUCUUCCACACAUCCACACAUGCAUACACCUGUAUACAACAAAAUUAAAUAUGCCAGUUAGAAUAAGAGUGGCCAGUGUAUCAUGGAUAUAGGCCAGACGUUUAUUUAUCUUGUAUUCUUACUGAGGUCAUUUAAGUUUAACUAGAAGUUGACCUCCUUGAUGGGAAGCCCUGUGAAAAAUUAUUCAACUUUCUAUUCUAGGAACCUAAGGUCAGGAUGCCCCAUCCAGCUUAUCCCAGCUUCUGUUAAACUGCUUGAAAUUUCCAAGAAACUGCUAAAGAAAAGAACAAAAUAUUGUUUUGUUUUGUUUUGUUUUUUUUAUCUUUAAAGAACCUUGUUCUAAAUGUUCAGCACUACACUUGGGUCCUGAAUACCUGAGUGUAGUAGUCAUAGUCAGCUGGAAUAAGGACUUUCAUUUGGCUAUAGAGAAUAUCUGAGUGGUCUUCUCUGAUGGGUACCACAUAACAGCUGAAACAUACUACUAUGGCUAUGCAUAUUUGGAAAUAGUAGGUGUAUAUCUAGAUAAUUGUUUCACAUAUUAAUGAACUGGUUACAGUAUAGUUAAACAUUUACUCAGCAGGAAAUAUCAUAAUAUUUUCAAAAGUAAUAAUGACUAUUUUUGUUUCCUAUUCAUAAAGUAUGGAGAACAGGCAUGAAGAUUUUCAUUACAAAAAGAGUAGAUCCAGGCAUGUUGGCACACAUCUGUAUUUUUAGCACUUGAAAGGUAAAGAAAGGAAUAUCAGGAUUUAAAAGUCAUCCUCAGCUACAUUGUAGUUUCAAGACCAGCCUGUGAAUGAUAGGAAAGCCUGUCUUAAUAUAGGCAAAAGACAAAAACAAAACAAGAAAUAGGCAAGGUGUGGUAGCACAUAGAGAAUCUCAGCAGUCAACAGUCUGAUGCAGGAUGGACCGCAAGUUUGAUGUUAGUCUAGACUUCACAACUAGCCAGCUGAGCUACAUAUGAACAUGUUUCAAAUACCAAACCAGAGUUACACACACAGACACACACACACACACACACACACACACACACACAGACACACACACACGCACACACACACACACACAGACACAGACACAGACACAGACACAGACACAGACACAGACACACACACACAGACACACACACAGACACACACACACACACACACACACACACAGACACACAGACACACACACACACACACACACACACCUACAAACGGUGGAAGUAUAAAACUAUGCCAUGUAAAAAAUGAACAAGUAGAAAAUUAUUUGUGAAAACAUUUCAGUAUUGCUGAUGUUUUAAAAGGAAUAAUAUUUAGAAUAUAUAAAUUUUGUAGCUCGAUUAUACAGAUUUCAGUUUGUUUUUUUUUGUGUGUGAAACUUAUCUUUAAUUUUAAAAGGGAGUGGUACCUACUCCCCUACUUUUAAUCUGGUUUAAUUGGGUAGUAAAAUGUGUAGGAUUUCCUCAAAAGCCUUGGGAGAAAAUCAUAUAUUGUCUUGAUUGUCAUAGAAAAUAGGUAAAUCAGUUGGAAUGGGUCAGCAUGUCAAAUGUGUUCAGGGACUAACCAUGUACAAUUCCCAUUGCACAGAUGGUCAACAGAAUUUAAAAAAAAAAAUCCAAGACUAGUACAGUAUCUGCUUCACAUGUUGGGUUCUUCUGGAAUGUAAAAUAGUUUUUGCUACUUUGUUACACAGAUGUGUAUAAUUCACAUAUUCAACCAUGUAAAAACACCCUUAUGAUAGAGUUUAAACUAAAAAAAAUAUUAGCUUUUUAUUGUCCUUCCUGAACCAUGUGUUCUGCCUACAUUCCGUCCUCUCUCAUCACAUAACAUUACCUUAUCCUGGUCUCCUUUCUAUGUUUUGAGACUUUACCCAUACUUACAUCAGUGUGUGUGUGUGUGUGUAUGUGUGUGUGUGUGUAUGUGUAUAUGUAUAUAUAUAUGUAUAUAUAUAUAUGAAUAUAUUAUAAGCUGGGAUCCACUAGACUCCACAUAUGAGGGAGAAUAAAUAGCCCUUUCCUUUCCAUACCCCCAAGUCAUUCAUCACCAUGUUAUACUUUAGAGAUCUAUCUGUUUUCUCAUCUUUUGUUUUCAGCUGAAUAACAUUCUAUUGCUUGUAUGUACACAAUAUCAUUGUCUGUUCAUCUAUUGGUGGACUUCUGGUUCUAAUUCCUUGCUAUUAUGAAUAGAGCAACAAUAAGUGCAAAUGUGCCAACACUCUUUGUUUGUUUCAACUUCUUUCCAUAUCAUCCAUUAUAUUCAAAUAUUCUUUUCAAUUCAUUUUAUAUAAACUUUACAUUGCUAAGAUACAUAUAUUUUAGUUGUAUUUUCCUAAUCAUAACAACUGUUUAUUGCAUAUCAACAAUGUUUGUGGUACACUCAUGUAUUCAAUACAAACCUUGGAUUAAUUUUUGUUUGUUUGUUUUUGACUUUUGAUUUUUGAAGUACAGUUGAAGGGAACACAUUAGGAAUCAUUUUUUUUUAAUUAUUCACUCCUUGGAGGAAGUUUCUUCUACCCAGCUUGAGGAGCCAGACCUGUUCAUUAUAUGUGAACAUAUAUAAUGAACCUGGGUG